GUUGAACGCUGGCGGCGUGCCUAAUACAUGCAAGUCGAGCGAAGCGGGGACGGGUGAGUAACACGUGGAUAACCUCCUCUAAGACUGGGGUAACUUCGGGAAACCGGAGCUAACCCGGUUACUUAUAGAUGGAUCCUCGCUGCAUUAGCUAGUUGGUACGGUAACGGCUUACCAAGGCUACGAUGCAUAGCCGACCUGAGAGGGUGAUCGGCAACACGGGAACUGAGACACGGUCCAGACUCCUACGGGAGGCAGCAGUAGGGAAUCUUCCACAAUGGGAGAAAGCCUGACGGAUCAACGCCGCGUGAAUGAUGAAGGUCUUCGGGUCGUAAAGCACUGUUAUUAGGGAAGCGGUACCUGAUCAAAAAGCCACGGCUAACUACGUGCCAGCAGCCGCGGUAAUUC
rnacentral:rRNA from 1 species